GACGAACGCUGGCGGCGUGCUUAACACAUGCAAGUCGAACGGAAAGGCCCUGCUUUUGUGGGGUGCUCGAGUUGCGAACGGGUGAGUAACACGUGAGUAACCUGCCCUUGACUUUGGGAUAACUUCAGGAAACUGGGGCUAAUACCGGAUAGGAGCUCCUGCUGCAUGGUGGGGGUUGGAAAGUUUCGGCGGUUGGGGAUGGACUCGCGGCUUAUCAGCUUGUUGGUGGGGUAGUGGCUUACCAAGGCUUUGACGGGUAGCCGGCCUGAGAGGGUGACCGGCCACAUUGGGACUGAGAUACGGCCCAGACUCCUACGGGAGGCAGCAGUGGGGAAUAUUGCACAAUGGGAGGAAGCAUGAUGCAGCAACGCCGCGUGCGGGAUGACGGCCUUCGGGUUGUAAACCGCUUUCGCCUGUGACGAAGCGUGAGUGACGGUAAUGGGUAAAGAAGCACCGGCUAACUACGUG
rnacentral:rRNA from 1 species